rnacentral:rRNA from 1 species
GACAGAGGGUGCAAACGUUGUUCGGAAUUACUGGGCGUAAAGCGCGUGUAGGCGGCCAUGCAAGUCGGAUGUGAAAGCCCUCGGCUCAACCGGGGAAGUGCACUCGAAACUGCAAGGCUAGAGUCUCGGAGAGGAUCGUGGAAUUCUCGGUGUAGAGGUGAAAUUCGUAGAUAUCGAGAGGAACACCUGCGGCGAAGGCGGGUUGCUGGGCCGACACUGACGCUGAUGCGCGAAAGCCAGGGGAGCGAACGGG